UACAGAGGUCUCAAGCGUUGUUCGGAUUCAUUGGGCGUAAAGGGUGUGUAGGUGGCGCGCUAAGUCGGGUGUGAAAUUUCGGAGCUUAACUCCGAAACUGCAUUCGAUACUGGCGUGCUUGAGGACUGGAGAGGAGACUGGAAUUCAUGGUGUAGCAGUGAAAUGCGUAGAGAUCAUGAGGAAGACCAGUGGCGAAGGCGGGUCUCUGGACAGUUCCUGACACUGAGACACGAAGGCCAGGAGAGCAAACGGG
rnacentral:rRNA from 1 species